AUUGAACGCUAGCGGGAUGCUUUACACAUGCAAGUCGAACGGCAGCGCGGACUUCGGUUUGGCGGCGAGUGGCGAACGGGUGAGUAAUGUAUAGGAACGUGCCCAGUUGCGGGGGCUAACUACGCGGGAUCGUAGCUAAUACCGCAAACGCCCUCCGGGGGUACGCCGGGGCUCGUAAGAACUUGCACCAUUGGAGCGGGCGAUAUCGGGUUAGCUAGUUGGUGAGGUAGCGGCUCAAAGAGGCGCCGAUUCGUCGCUGGUUUGAAAGGACGACCAGCCACACUGGAAAUUAAACACGGCACAGACUCCUACGGGAGGCAGCAGUGGGGAAUUUUGGACAAUGGGGGCAACCCUGAUCCAGCCAUCCCGCGUGUGCGAUGAAGGCCUUCGGGUUGUAAAGCACUUUUGUCAGGAAAGAAACGACGCGGGCUAAUACCCCGUGGAACUGACGGUACCCGCAGAAUAAGCACCGGCUAACUACGUG
rnacentral:rRNA from 1 species